rnacentral:rRNA from 1 species
AUCUACAGCCAUGCCACCCUGAACAAGCCCAAUCCCGUCUGAUCUCGGAAGCUAAGCAGGGUUGGGCCUGUUUAGUACUUGGAUGGGAGACCACCUAGGAAGACCAGGUGCUGUAGGCA